rnacentral:rRNA from 1 species
GAUGAACGCUGGCGGCGUGCCUAAUACAUGCAAGUCGAGCGAACGGACGAGAAGCUUGUUUCUCUGAUGUUAGCGGCGGACGGGUGAGUAACACGUGGAUAACCUACCUAUAGGCCUGGGAUAAAUUCCGGAAUCCGUAGCUAAUACCGGAUAAUAUUUUGCAUCGCAUGGUUCAAACGCGAAAGUAGGUCUUUCUGUCACUUAUAGAUGGAUCCGCGCUGCAUUAGCUAGUUGGUAAGGUCACGGCAUACCAAGGCCACGAUUCAUAGCUGACCUGAGAGGGGAAUCAGCCACACUGGAACGGAGCCACGAUCCAGACUCCAACGGGAGGCAGCGGUGGGGUAUCUACCACAAGGGGCGGAAGCCUGACGGAGCAACGCCGCGUGAGUGAUAAAGGUCUUCGGAUCGUAAAACUCUGUUAUUAGGGAAGAACAUAUGUGUAAGGAACUGUGCACAGCUUGACGGUACCUAAUCAGAAAGCCACGGCUAACUACGUG